rnacentral:rRNA from 1 species
GAGUUUGAUCCUGGCUCAGAACGAACGCUGGCGGCAUGCCUAACACAUGCAAGUCGAACGGGAUCCAGGCUUCGGCCUGGUGAGAGUGGCGGACGGGUGAGUAACGCGUGGGAACCUGCCCAAUGGUCUGGGAUAACCGCGGGAAACUGCGGCUAAUACCGGAUAAGCCCGAGAGGGGAAAGAUUUAUCGCCGAUGGAGGGGCCCGCGUCCGAUUAGGUAGUUGGUGGGGUAAUGGCCUACCAAGCCUACGAUCGGUAGCUGGUCUGAGAGGAUGAUCAGCCACACUGGGACUGAGAUACGGCCCAGACUCCUACGGGAGGCAGCAGUGGGGAAUAUUGGACAAUGGGGGCAACCCUGAUCCAGCAAUGCCGCGUGAGUGAUGAAGGCCUUAGGGUUGUAAAGCUCUUUUGGCGGGGACGAUGAUGACGGUACCCGCAGAAUAAGCCCCGGCUAACUUCGUGCCAGCCGCCGCAGUAAU